CUGGCGGCAUGGCUAAGACAUGCAAGUCGAACGGACCAUAUAAUUGGGUAACCGAAAGUAUGGUUAGUGGCGAAAGGGUGAGGAAUAGAUAGGAACGUACCCUGUGCUCUGGGAUAGCGUCUGAAGCUUCGGCUUCUUCCGAAAGGGGCGGUAAUACCAGAUAAUGUCCUUCGGGACCAAAGAUUUAUCGGCAUUGGAGCGGCCUAUCUCCUAUCAGCUUGUUGGUGAGGUAACGGCUCACCAAGGCAACGACGGGUAGCGGGACUGAGAGGUUGGCCCGCCACAUCGGGACUGAGACACUGCCCGGACCUCCACGGAGGGCUGCAGUAACGGAUAUUGGGCAAUGGGCGAAAGCCUGACCCAGCAAUGCCGCGUGCAGGAUGAAGCCCCUAGGGGUGUAAACUGCUGUCAGGGGUCAGAAAGCUGGUUUCGGCCAGUUGAUCAACCCCAGAGGAAGUCACGGCUAACUUCGUGCCAGCAGCCGCGGUAAUACGAAGGUGGCAAGCGUUAUUCGGAAUCAUUGGGCUUAAAGGGCACGCAGGCGGAACAGUGUGUGUUGUGUGAAAUCCCCCGGCUUAACCGGGGAAUUGCACAGCAAACUGCUGUUCUUGAGGCAGGUAGGGGUGCAUGGAACUCUUGGUGGAGCGGUGGAAUGCGUAGAUAUCAAGAGGAACGCCAGAGGUGAAGACGGUGCACUGGGCCUGUCCUGACGCUGAGGUGCGAAAGCGUGGGGAGCGAACGGGAUUAGAUACCCCGGUAGUCCACGCCGUAAACGAUGUCUACUAGGUCGUGGGUGUUCUGACACAUUCACGGCCGGAGCAAAAGUGUUUAGUAGACCGCCUGGGGAGUACGGCCGCAAGGUUAAAACUCAAAUGAAUUGACGGGGGCUCACACAAGCGGUGGAGCAUGUGGAUUAAUUCGAAGCAACGCGCAGAACCUUACCUGGGUUUGACAUGCUUGUAUGCCUUCUCUGAAAGGAGUUAGGUUGCCUUCGGGUGAAACUUGCACAGGUGCUGCAUGGCUGUCGUCAGCUCGUGUCGUGAGAUGUCGGGUUAAGUCCUUUAACGAGCGAAACCCUUGCCGUUAGUUGCCAGCGAGUAAUGUCGGGGACUCUAACGGGACUGCCGGUGUUAAACCGGAGGAACGCUGGGGAUGACGUCAAGUCCUCAUGGCCUUUAUGCCCAGGGCUUCACACGUGCUACAAUGGCAAUUACAGAGCGACGCGAUACCGCGAGGUGGAGCAAAUCGCAAAAAAAUUGCCUCAGUUCGGAUUGCAGGCUGGCAAUUCGCCUGCAUGAAGUCGGAAUCGCUAGUAAUCGCGUAUCAGCAAUCACCGCGGUGAAUGUGUUCCUGAGCAUUGUACACACCGCCCGUCAAGUGAUGGAAGCCGGGAGUACCCGAAGUCGG
rnacentral:rRNA from 1 species